rnacentral:sRNA from 1 species
UGACGUGGCGGUUCGGUGCUUCAGACCAGAUGCAUAAUGAAGUAUCGGGGAAGGAUUGGGAGAUCGCUCGCUGGCCACCGCAAGCUUUGUGAAACCUUGAGGAGCAAUACAAAACCGGGUCAAUGAAACACCAAGAUCUGACGCUUGUAAACAGUCGACAGUUCCUAGCAAAUCUUUCUCGAUGUGUCAAACCUGACUGCCAUUGAAGUAUUGCUUACUUUAAUACGGCAGAUUUUUAUACUGAUGAUUUUUCAACAAACUGUGUUCCUUGCGCGUAUGUAAAUUUUUUUCGAAACGGAUCCGGCAAAUACACCUUCUUCCGGUACAUCCUGUUCCGGGAUAUGCAACCGGAUGUCGUAGUUGAAGCUAGUGUUUAGAUGUUGUACACAAAUGAACGACGUUAUGGCUAUAGAAGAAAGAGCUUUGGAUGGAUCCAUCAAAAUUUUCAAAAGACAUUUUGGCAAUCUCCGUCCAUUCUUGUGUGUCUUCAGGUGUUCAGAGAUGGUUUUCAUGCUACUCUUUAAUCGCUUCAUUAAUGCGAGAUUUUAACAUGGAUGGAACAAUUUUAAUUUGAUUGAUGCAUGCAAAUUUAAAUAAAUAAUACACAGUC